GACGAACGCUGGCGGCGUGCCUAAUACAUGCAAGUAGAACGCUGAAGAGAGGAGCUUGCUCUUCUUGGAUGAGUUGCGAACGGGUGAGUAACGCGUAGGUAACCUGCCUUGUAGCGGGGGAUAACUAUUGGAAACGAUAGCUAAUACCGCAUAACAAUGGAUGACUCAUGUCAUUUAUUUGAAAGGGGCAAAUGCUCCACUACAAGAUGGACCUGCGUUGUAUUAGCUAGUAGGUGAGGUAACGGCUCACCUAGGCGACGAUACAUAGCCGACCUGAGAGGGUGAUCGGCCACACUGGGACUGAGACACGGCCCAGACUCCUACGGGAGGCAGCAGUAGGGAAUCUUCGGCAAUGGGGGCAACCCUGACCGAGCAACGCCGCGUGAGUGAAGAAGGUUUUCGGAUCGUAAAGCUCUGUUGUAAGUCAAGAACGAGUGUGAGAGUGGAAAGUUCACACUGUGACGGUAGCUUACCAGAAAGGGACGGCUAACUACGUGCCAGCAGCCGCGGUAAUACGUAGGUCCCGAGCGUUGUCCGGAUUUAUUGGGCGUAAAGCGAGCGCAGGCGGUUUGAUAAGUCUGAAGUUAAAGGCUGUGGCUCAACCAUAGUUCGCUUUGGAAACUGUCAAACUUGAGUGCAGAAGGGGAGAGUGGAAUUCCAUGUGUAGCGGUGAAAUGCGUAGAUAUAUGGAGGAACACCGGUGGCGAAAGCGGCUCUCUGGUCUGUAACUGACGCUGAGGCUCGAAAGCGUGGGGAGCGAACAGG
rnacentral:rRNA from 1 species